UACGUAGGGUCCGAGCGUUGUCCGGAAUUACUGGGCGUAAAGAGCUCGUAGGUGGUUUGUCGCGUUGUUCGUGAAAACUCACAGCUCAACUGUGGGCGUGCGGGCGAUACGGGCAGACUAGAGUACUGCAGGGGAGACUGGAAUUCCUGGUGUAGCGGUGGAAUGCGCAGAUAUCAGGAGGAACGCCGGUGGCGAAAGCGGUCCGCUGGCCCUCUACUGACGCUGAGGCGCGAAAGCCAGGGGAGCAAACGGG
rnacentral:rRNA from 1 species